GAAAUGCGAUAAGUAAUGUGAAUUGCAGAAUUCAGUGAAUCAUCGAAUCUUUGAACGCACCUUGCGCUCCUUGGUAUUCCUUGGAGCAUGCCUGUUUGAGUAUCAUGAAAUCUUCAAAGUAAAUCUUUUGUUAACUCAAUUGGUUUCUACUUUGGUAUUGGAGGUCUUUGCAGCUUCACACCUGCUCCUCUUUGUUCAUUAGCUGGAUCUCAGUGUUAUGCUUGGUUCCACUCGGCGUGAUAAGUUAUCUAUCGCUGAGGACACUGUAAAAGGUGGCCAAGGUAAAUGCAGAUGAACCGCUUCUAAUAGUCCAUUGACUUGGACAAUACUUUUAUGAUCUGAUCUCACAUCAGGUAGGACUACCCGCUGAACUUAAGC
rnacentral:misc_RNA from 1 species